rnacentral:misc_RNA from 1 species
GAUGAGGCAGAUGCUGAGAAGACGUUCAGGAGACUUGUCUUCUUCAUCAUCUUCCAAGAAGUACACGCGAUCAGCAAGCACAAAACUCUACUGAUCAUUAAUCGGGAGGGAUCUUAUAAUUCCUUGCCUGGAAUAAUUAAUAUGGAUGGCUAUGGCAGCCUUUCUUGGCUAAGUGUUGUCUUGUCUUGUAAUGUACAGGGAAUGUUAUUUCAAAGGAGGCUACAGCUUGCUUUUUUGCACUAAACAUUUGUUAUGCUUUUCUUCUCCUUUGUUGGCUAAAG